rnacentral:rRNA from 1 species
ACGCUCGACACCUACGGGAGGCAGCAGUGAGGGAUAUUGGUCAAUGGGGGAAACCCUGAACCAGCAACGCCGCGUGAGGGAUGACGGCCUUGGUUGUAACCUCUGUCCUCUGCGAAGAUAAUGACGGUAGCAGAGGAGGAAGCUCCGGCUAACUACGUGCUAGCAGCCGCGGUAAUCUGAGCGGGCUGGCAAGGC